ACUAUACUAAGCACUGUACAUUUAGUAACUCAUUUAACCCUGAUAGUCAGGUACCUGUAUCAUUCCCAUUACAUGGAUUAAAAAUUUGAGGCACCGAAGGGUUAAGCAACUUGUCCAAAGCUCCAGUUAAGCGUGGUGGAGCUCUCAAGUCUGUAGUCCCAGUACUUUGGGUGGCUGAGGCAGCAGGAUUGCUUGAGGCCAGGAGUUUGAGACCAGCCUGGGCAACACAGUAAGACCUUGUCUCUAAAAAAAAGAAAAAAGGAAAAAAAAGAAAAAAAGGGUAGUGGAGCUGAAGUGUUAGUUUAGCUGAGUUCUGUAGUUAACCACCAAAGCUAGAUAUUUACUUUUACCUUUUAUAUGUGCAAUUCAAGUUUCUCUAUUCUAAUUUAUAAAGUUCUAGGUGACUAGAGCUCCCAUGAUAUCAUCUGACAUGUUGCUGUUCUGGACUCAGGGUUGUUGAAAGCAGCUGACACACUCUGUUAAUGAUUCCAAGGCCAGAGUCAGGCUGCAGUGAAGAGUUGGCCUGGUGUGUAAGAACUCCAUCCCCCCUAACCGGCAGGAUGCAGGCAAUGAUUCAGUAGGUUAGGCUGGUUCCCCCCAUCCCAUCCCCUCACCCCCUGCCAUCGUUCAAAAUAGUAAUUAUGAUGUAAUGUUUAAUGUUUAAAAAAAUACUCUGGUGAUUUAUGGACUUAAAAACUAUCUGAAUGCACCCUGAGGAUGAUGGUGAAAGGUGCAAUUUUGACAUCAAAACAAGUGGGUGCAUCUAAUAUUUAAUUAAAGGAUCAGAUGAAGAAAGCAGAUGCGAAGUCGCUCAGAUGGAAAUGUGGCCUAACCCCCAACCCAAGGUCUGAGAGAGUGACAGAAGCUAGUGUCACCUUUGAAUACAAAACAUGGCUACAGAUGAAUUCAAGAAAGAAUGAAAAUGUAUUGCUUAUAUAAUUUUAGGGCUAGUUUCUUUUUUUUCUUUCUUUUUUUUUUUUUUACGAGGCGGAGUCUUGCUCUGUCACACAGGCUGGAGUUCAGUGGCAGGAUCUCAGCUC
rnacentral:lncRNA from 1 species